GUGGUAAUGCCGGAUGCUCCAUCUCAUCGCAUGGUGUUUUGGGAAAGCCUUUGCGGCAUGGGAUGGGGUCGCGUCCUAUCAGCUUGAUGGCGGGGUAACGGCCCACCAUGGCUUCGACGGGUAGCCGGCCUGAGAGGGCGACCGGCCACAUUGGGACUGAGAUACGGCCCAGACUCCUACGGGAGGCAGCAGUGGGGAAUAUUGCACAAUGGGCGCAAGCCUGAUGCAGCGACGCCGCGUGAGGGAUGGAGGCCUUCGGGUUGUAAACCUCUUUUGUUAGGGAGCAAGGCAUUUUGUGUUGAGUGUACCUUUCGAAUAAGCACCGGCUAACUACGUGCCAGCAGCCGCGGUAAUACGUAGGGUGCAAGCGUUAUCCGGAAUUAUUGGGCGUAAAGGGCUCGUAGGCGGUUCGUCGCGUCCGGUGUGAAAGUCCAUCGCUUAACGGUGGAUCCGCGCCGGGUACGGGCGGGCUUGAGUGCGGUAGGGGAGACUGGAAUUCCCGGUGUAACGGUGGAAUGUGUAGAUAU
rnacentral:rRNA from 1 species